UACGUAGGCAGCAAGCGUUGCUCGGAGUUACUGGGCGUAAAGGGUGUGUAGGCGGUUGGAUAAGUGUGGUGUGAAAUCUCCCGGCUCAACUGGGAGGGUGCGCUACAAACUGUCUGACUAGAGUGUGGGAUGGUAAGUGGAAUUCCUGGUGUAGCGGUGAAAUGCGUAGAUAUCAGGAGGAACACCGGGUGGUGUAGACGGCUUACUGGACCAUAACUGACGCUGAGACACGAAAGCGUGGGUAGCAAACAGG
rnacentral:rRNA from 1 species